rnacentral:rRNA from 1 species
GACGAACGCUGGCGGCGUGCUUAACACAUGCAAGUCGAACGGAAAGGCCCUGCUUGCAGGGUGCUCGAGUGGCGAACGGGUGAGUAACACGUGGGUGAUCUGCCCCUUACUUUGGGAUAAGCCUGGGAAACUGGGUCUAAUACUGGAUAGGACCAUGCUGCAGGUGGUGUGGUGGAAAGAUUAGUUUCGGUCAGGGAUGAGCUCGCGGCCUAUCAGCUUGUUGGUGGGGUAAGGGCCUACCAAGGCGUCGACGGGUAGCCGGCCUGAGAGGGUGGACGGCGACAUCGGGACUGGGAUACGGCCCAGACUCCUACGCGAGGCGGCAGUGGGGGAUAGUGCAAAAUGGGCGCAAGCCUGAUGCAGCGACGCCGCGUGGGGGGUGACGGCCUUCGGUUUGUAAACGCCAUGCGGCCAUGACGAAGCCCUUGUGGUGACGGUAGUGGUAGAAGAAGCACCGGCUAACUACGUG